rnacentral:rRNA from 1 species
GCUUAGAGAGGGGUCAAUGUCCUAUCAGCUAGUUGGUAGGGUAAUGGCCUACCAAGGCUAAGACGGGUAGCCGGCCUGAGAGGGUGGUCGGCCACACUGGGACUGAGACACUGCCCAGACUCCUACGGGAGGCUGCAGUCGAGAAUCUUUCGCAAUGCCCGAAAGGGUGACGAAGCGACGCCGCGUGUGGGAAGAAGGCCUUCGGGUUGUAAACCACUGUCGGGAGUUAAGAAAUGCAAGGGUGUUAAUAGCAUCCUUGCUUGACUAAGGCUCCGGAGGAAGCCACGGCUAACUCUGUGCCAGCAGCCGCGGUAAUACAGAGACGGCAAGCGUUGUUCGGAAUUAUUGGGCGUAAAGAGCACGUAGGCGGCUUUGUAAGUCAGUUGUGAAAGCCUUCUGCUCAACGGAAGAACAGCAUCUGAUACUGCAAGGCUAGAGUGCGGAAGGG